rnacentral:rRNA from 1 species
GGUUAAGCGACUAAGCGUGCACGGUGGAUGCCCUGGCAGUCAGAGGCGAUGAAGGACGUGCUAAUCUGCGAAAAGCGUCGGUAAGGUGAUAUGAACCGUUACAGCCGGCGAUGUCCGAAUGGGGAAACCCAGUGCAAUUCGUUGCACUAUCGUUAACUGAAUACAUAGGUUAACGAGGCGAACCGGGGGAACUGAAACAUCUAAGUACCCCGAGGAAAAGAAAUCAACCGAGAUUCCCCCAGUAGCGGCGAGCGAACGGGGAGCAGCCCAGAGUCUGAAUCAGCUUGUGUGUUAGUGGAACGGUCUGGAAAGUCCGACGGUACAGGGUGAUAGUCCCGUACACCAAAAUGCACAGGCUGUGAACUCGAAGAGUAGGGCGGGACACGUGGUAUCCUGUCUGAAUAUGGGGGGACCAUCCUCCAAGGCUAAAUACUCCUGACUGACCGAUAGUGAACCAGUACCGUGAGGGAAAGGCGAAAAGAACCCCGGCGAGGGGAGUGAAAAAGAACCUGAAACCGUGUACGUACAAGCAGUGGGAGCACCUUCGGGUGUGACUGCGUACCUUUUGUAUAAUGGGUCAGCGACUUAUAUUCUGUAGCAAGGUUAACCGUAUAGGGGAGCCGCAGGGAAACCGAGUCUUAACUGGGCGUUAAGUUGCAGGGUAUAGACCCGAAACCCGGUGAUCUAGCCAUGGGCAGGUUGAAGGUUGGGUAACACUAACUGGAGGACCGAACCGACUAAUGUUGAAAAAUUAGCGGAUGACUUGUGGCUGGGGGUGAAAGGCCAAUCAAACCGGGAGAUAGCUGGUUCUCCCCGAAAGCUAUUUAGGUAGCGCCUCGUGAAUUCAUCUUCGGGGGUAGAGCACUGUUUCGGCUAGGGGGUCAUCCCGACUUACCAACCCGAUGCAAACUACGAAUACCGAAGAAUGUUAUCACGGGAGACACACGGCGGGUGCUAACGUCCGUCGUGAAGAGGGAAACAACCCAGACCGCCAGCUAAGGUCCCAAAGUCAUGGUUAAGUGGGAAACGAUGUGGGAAGGCACAGACAGCCAGGAUGUUGGCUUAGAAGCAGCCAUCAUUUAAAGAAAGCGUAAUAGCUCACUGGUCGAGUCGGCCUGCGCGGAAGAUGUAACGGGGCUAAACCAUGCACCGAAGCUGCGGCAGCGACACUAUGUGUUGUUGGGUAGGGGAGCGUUCUGUAAGCCUGCGAAGGUGUGCUGUGAGGCAUGCUGGAGGUAUCAGAAGUGCGAAUGCUGACAUAAGUAACGAUAAAGCGGGUGAAAAGCCCGCUCGCCGGAAGACCAAGGGUUCCUGUCCAACGUUAAUCGGGGCAGGGUGAGUCGACCCCUAAGGCGAGGCCGAAAGGCGUAGUCGAUGGGAAACAGGUUAAUAUUCCUGUACUUGGUGUUACUGCGAAGGGGGGACGGAGAAGGCUAUGUUAGCCGGGCGACGGUUGUCCCGGUUUAAGCAUGUAGGCUGGUUGUCCAGGCAAAUCCGGAUAAUCAAGGCUGAGGUGUGAUGACGAGGCACUACGGUGCUGAAGUAACAAAUGCCCUGCUUCCAGGAAAAGCCUCUAAGCAUCAGGUAACAUUAAAUCGUACCCCAAACCGACACAGGUGGUCAGGUAGAGAAUACCAAGGCGCUUGAGAGAACUCGGGUGAAGGAACUAGGCAAAAUGGUGCCGUAACUUCGGGAGAAGGCACGCUGGUGUGUAGGUGAAGUCCCUGCGGAUGGAGCUGAGACCAGUCGAAGAUACCAGCUGGCUGCAACUGUUUAUUAAAAACACAGCACUGUGCAAACACGAAAGUGGACGUAUACGGUGUGACGCCUGCCCGGUGCCGGAAGGUUAAUUGAUGGGGUUAUCCGUAAGGAGAAGCUCUUGAUCGAAGCCCCGGUAAACGGCGGCCGUAACUAUAACGGUCCUAAGGUAGCGAAAUUCCUUGUCGGGUAAGUUCCGACCUGCACGAAUGGCGUAAUGAUGGCCAGGCUGUCUCCACCCGAGACUCAGUGAAAUUGAACUCGCUGUGAAGAUGCAGUGUACCCGCGGCAAGACGGAAAGACCCCGUGAACCUUUACUAUAGCUUGACACUGAACAUUGAGCCUUGAUGUGUAGGAUAGGUGGGAGGCUUUGAAGCGUGGACGCCAGUCUGCGUGGAGCCAACCUUGAAAUACCACCCUUUAAUGUUUGAUGUUCUAACGUUGGCCCCUUACCGGGGUUGCGGACAGUGUCUGGUGGGUAGUUUGACUGGGGCGGUCUCCUCCCAAAGCGUAACGGAGGAGCACGAAGGUUAGCUAAUCCUGGUCGGACAUCAGGAGGUUAGUGCAAUGGCAUAAGCUAGCUUGACUGCGAGCGUGACGGCGCGAGCAGGUGCGAAAGCAGGUCAUAGUGAUCCGGUGGUUCUGAAUGGAAGGGCCAUCGCUCAACGGAUAAAAGGUACUCCGGGGAUAACAGGCUGAUACCGCCCAAGAGUUCAUAUCGACGGCGGUGUUUGGCACCUCGAUGUCGGCUCAUCACAUCCUGGGGCUGAAGUAGGUCCCAAGGGUAUGGCUGUUCGCCAUUUAAAGUGGUACGCGAGCUGGGUUUAGAACGUCGUGAGACAGUUCGGUCCCUAUCUGCCGUGGGCGCUGGAGAAUUGAGGGGGGCUGCUCCUAGUACGAGAGGACCGGAGUGGACGCAUCACUGGUGUUCGGGUUGUCAUGCCAAUGGCACUGCCCGGUAGCUAAAUGCGGAAGAGAUAAGUGCUGAAAGCAUCUAAGCACGAAACUUGCCCCGAGAUGAGUUCUCCCUGAGACUUUAAGUCUCCUGAAGGAACGUUAAAGACGAUGACGUUGAUAGGCCGGGUGUGUAAGCGCAGCGAUGCGUUGAGCUAACCGGUACUAAUGAACCGUGAGGCUUAACCUU